UCUCCGUAGGUGAACCUGCGGAGGGAUCAUUACUGAGUGAGGGCCUCUGGCCCGACCUCCAACCCUUUGAUGUCCUGCUCUGUUGCCUCGGGGGCGACCCGGCCUUCGGGCCCGGGGCCCCCUGUGUUCCACGAAACUCUCCAUCUUUGCGUUUGAGUAAACAUUAAAUGAAACAAAACUUUCAACAACGGAUCUCUUGGUUCUG
rnacentral:misc_RNA from 1 species